GAUGAACGCUGGCGGCGUGCCUAAUACAUGCAAGUCGAGCGAACGGACGAGAAGCUUGCUUCUCUGAUGUUAGCGGCGGACGGGUGAGUAACACGUGGAUAACCUACCUAUAAGACUGGGAUAACUUCGGGAAACCGGCGCUAAUACCGGAUAAUAUUUUGAACCGCAUGGUUCAAAAGUGAAAGACGGUCUUUCUGUCACUUAUAGAUAGAUCCGCGCUGCAUUAGCUAGUUGGUAAGGUAACGGCUUACCAAGGCAACGAUGCAUAGCCGACCUGAGAGGGUGAUCGGCCACACUGGAACUGAGACACGGUCCAGACUCCUACGGGAGGCAGCAGUAGGGAAUCUUCCGCAAUGGGCGAAAGCCUGACGGAGCAACGCCGCGUGAGUGAUGAAGGUCUUCGGAUCGUAAAACUCUGUUAUUAGGGAAGAACAUAUGUGUAAGUAACUGUGCACAUCUUGACGGUACCUAAUCAGAAAGCCACGGCUAACUACGUG
rnacentral:rRNA from 1 species